CCCAUGAGACUCACCUGAGGUCACACAGCUCAUUAGAGGCACGGCCAGGGACCCGAGGUCUGACUGAGCCCAGGCCCCUUCUCUGUGCCGAGCGGAGGAGGUGGGUGGGAGUCCAGGGCAGGCCCAGCAGGACUGGGCAGCAGACAUUCUCAGGCUGUUACCCUCCCUUUCUCUAAGGCCUCAUCUGUGUGCUCCUCUGUCCCCAGAUACUCUCAUGUUAACACCAAGGCUGGGAAACAGGAAGGACCCUGCCCUGCCGGCGGCAGUUAGAUCCCCGGGUGGGGGCAAGUGUGCAUCUGUAGGAGACUAAGCACCAGGUCUCAUCACGAUGGAGAGAAGGACUAACUUCUCAUGUCAUGAACAUGGACCUGCAGCCUCAUUUUCAGUGGCUGUACUAUAUUCCAUUUUUCCAGUUAUGCCCACUUUAUUUAGUCAGGCCCAGAUUGAUUUUUGGACACGUAGGUUUUUCCCAGUCUUUCUGCCUCAUAAAUAAUGCUUCAGUAAACAUCACUGGACUUUCAUCUUCACGCGCCUGCAUAACCAGAAUAACUUUUAGCAGCCGGGUAACUGGGACGGAGGCAAAGCGCUCUUGCAGCACACUGAUUAAAUCCCUCUGGUGUCAGCCAGACCUCGGCGUGAGCACACGUGCGCGCACACAGGCAAGUUGCUUAGUUCCCCUGAGCCUCCUUUCUCUCCUGUACAAAACAGAGCAGCAGGUAUGCAACCCUUACCCGUCGUUCCAAAAUCCACAAAGCUCUCCUUCGUAGCAAAACCACCCUGUACCAGUGUACUGACAUGAGGUUAUUCAUAGUAUUUACACACGGUGUGACUAUUCAUAUAUUUUGCUGCAGAAAUAUUAAUACGAUUGCCUGUGGGGUGUUGCACUACACCAGUGUUUAUCCACUUUUUGGGGUAUUUUUUUCAUUAUCAUCCCCCAAAGGGCCUUUUAAAAACUUUUUCUUAAUUGCCGUUCCAUGAAAUUUUAAUAUCAUAGUUAAUAUUGUACAUCUGUAUGUGUACUGUAUGCAUAUCUGUGUCAAGGUUCCCCCCACCAAGAACCAGUUUUCACCCCCUUGGGGACAGUAUCGUUCCCGUAGAGAAUGCAUGACCUAGACCAGUAGUUCUCAACCAGGCGCGACUUUGCCCCCCAGGGACAUUUGGCAGUGUCUGGAGACAGUUUGGGUUGUCACAGCUGUGGGUUCGGGCAUCGGUCGGUACAGACCAGGAAGGCUGCUGGCCUCCUCCAGCGCACAGCGACGGCCCCCCUGCAACAGGCCAGAGUUCUAAGGUUGGCAGACCCUCCUCAAGACCCCACUGGGGGUUCCUCCCAAUAUACAGUAUGUGCUCUCAUCUGUUGCCCUUCUAAAAUCUGAAUUAGAAUGCAUCUGGCCCCUGGGUUAGGGGUCAGGGCCACUGGAGCUGUAACACUGAAACCUACUUCACAGGUCGGUGGGAGGACCCUUUGGGGGUCCUCCCCAAAUCAGUAAAUGCACUUUACUGAUGCAGUAAGGUGCAUUUCUUGGCACCUGGCCGUGGUCCGUGCUCACCCAGGAUGAGCCAAAGUGCCCGAGCGCCAGACGUCCAGGGUCCUGCGCCUGGAUGCUGUCUCCACAUUGAGAAAUACACGUUCAGGAGCCUUUCAAAAUCACUAGGUUUGCCUUCCAAGUCCCGUUAAGUGGGCGCUGGCCCCAAGGAUGCCCAGGGCUUUUCCAGCAUGCCUGAAAGCUUGCAUGGGCACCAGCUCCUUACAGAUGGGUCUGUUAGUUUGUUUGUGGGCUUGGACCAAGGUGCAGUGUCUGUUUGAACGUGCCUCUGGGCUUGGCCAGCAGCCAGUGGUAAGCCGGCCUGGAGCGGUGCAUGGGGACCAGGCCCCGAAUCCUGGAGCUCGAGACAGAGGCUUCCGAGCGCUCUCACCCACUUGUGACCCAGUGAGCCACGUGAUGAGCAAACGGCACCCUGAAGCAAGCAGUUCCGCCCCGACUUGGGUGCUGCUAAGAGUUGGCCAAAGAGACACCAUCCACUGGGCAUUUUCCAGGGCCUCUGGCUUCCCAAGGGCUGGACCGGGAAGCAGAGGUGGGUUGAGUUGUGAGUUACAACAGGCGGCGCCCUGGACCCUGGGCAGGGUCUUUGAACAAAACCACAGGCUGGGCUGGGCACCAGAAGGAAACAGGGCCCUUGGCUCUGUUCCAGGCGAUGGAAUGUCGGCCCAACUGGUUUUCCUCCUUCACUGGAGGAGCCGGGCGCUCAUAAACAAGGGAACUGCCAGGCCCGUCAACAGCAGAGAGGUCCCGGGCUCUGCCCCUGCCCCUGCCCUGCCCCCACGCCAGGGGAAGAGAUGCCCCAUCCGUGCUCCGUGCCAUCUCUGCAGACCAUCCCCUUAUCCUCACGGUGGGUCCGUAAGCCUCUCCUGCAGGGCUUUUCCACAGGGUGUAUGGGAUGGGUCGGUCCCGUCCCCAGCAUAGCCCACUGUCAGUGAAGGUGGUGUUUCGCUUCACCUAUUCCUAGGCUCUUUGGUCACCUGCACUGCCUUCUCCAUUCUCCCCCAUCUGUUCAAUCUGACCCACUUUUCAAGGCCUGGGCCAUGUCACAUGCCCUCUGUCACUUGCCACUCCUGAGCCCCUGUAUGCACUCUCCUCCCCUUCUGUCUGGGGCCCCGAAGUACUUCGGGUGCCUGGGGUAGGAAAUCAUUAAUCAUGGGGCCCAAGAUGACCAAGGGGUGACCUAAGGUGGACUUGUCUGCCCCUUGUGCCCAGUAAACUUUCUGUAACAGCUUUGACAUCUCCAUAUCAGCACUUAAAAUUCUACUUCAUUGUUUUUGAUGGCAGCACGGAUUCCCUUGCAGGGAUAAACCUGUUUACAGAUGCCCUUAUGGAAAGACAACUGGGUUGUGUUUGCUGUUAACCAAAAACCAAAUGCUGCUGCUGGGAGCAUCUUUGGGUGUGUGAGUUGAUAUCGCGGAGGAGGUGGUGGGUGUGUCCUGCCUGGGAGAGAUGCCGGUGGAUUUGGGAUCCUGAGGCAAUGGACAGACACACCGGCUCCCCGCCUCCUCCCCGGGUUCACACUUGCGUCAAGGCUGCAGUUCUGUCGCCUGACACGUUGAGCCAUCGCCUGAAAUAAACACGAGAGAGAUGUUCUGACAUGUGAUGUUUCAAAAAAAAAAAAAAAACAACACAGAGUCAAAUUUGGCGGAGACUGUUUUAAGAAUCCCUCCAGGAGAGCCAAGUCAGGGUAGAUGGGAGCAGAUCCCAUGAAGAAGAGAUGCUAGGAAACAUGAAAGAAUUAUGUAUUUACGUAGAAUCGUACAUUUUAACGUUUAUUUUAAAAAACUACCAACAGCAAAUGUUACAAAAUACAAAAAGAGGUAGAAUUUUAAAACUGUGUCUCCCUCUCUCCUCCUCCCCCUGUCACUCGCUUCCCCUCCCAGAGGCAAGUGUGAUGACAGUUUUCCUAUGUCCUUCUCACAUAUUCUAUGCAUUUUCAAAUAUUUACGUAUAUAUUUUUCCUCACUCCACCUGUUGCUUCCAGCCUUGCCUUAUUCACUUGACAGUGUAUCUUGGAAGUCACUCCAUAUCGGGACACAUACAUCUCC